AAUUCGUAUGAAAUUUGACUUCUAUUGCCAAUUCAAGAAUUCGAGUUAUGGAAACUCAAUUGUACAUACGUCUCAUUCUAAAAUCAGCAUGAAUCAUCGGACAGCUGCUGUUCACACUUCAUCUCACUUCAAAAUGUUUAUGUUUCUUUCGACUGUGAAUCAUACCAACACAACACCACCCUAGUAUCAAUACAACUGUGGAGCAUUGAGGGAUCGCUUUUCAACACAAGUGAAUGUAUCAAAUAACUUUCGCCGCUGGCAAAAAAAAAAAACAACAGCAACAACAAGUGAAGUGUAAAGUGUGAGUAAGUGCUUGGAGCCACGCGAGCCACAAAUAAAGAGCAUUGUAAAAGCUUUGACUGCGAAAUACACACACAUACAUACUCGUAUGUAAGAAUCUAUUUGAAAUCAUAAACGACUGUCUCCAAGUGUAGCAAAGCAAAUACAUAGACACGAUUAAAGAGAAAUCGGUAGACGCGAGUUCAUACGUAUCAUAUAUGUACACAUGUAUGCGCAAACAAAGCAUGCAGUAAUUCAUGCAUACAACAAAUCUUGCUACAAAAGACGCAGCAGCAGCAGCAUGUGAGUAGCAUUUUAAUUGUACAAAGACACAGACGUCGUUGUCUGCAACAUUGCCACGUAUGUACUAUGUGUGUAUCAACAAAGAAAUACAAAAACACAACAACUGCCAUUGAAUUAUCAGCCCGCACAGCAAUGCAGACGCUGUGGGUUUGAGAUCCUGUUGCGAUUUGAGUGUUGUGUAUGUGUCGAGCCUGUUAAGAGUCAAAGCAGUUAGUAUUUUGAUGUUUGGGUACUUGGUAGUGUCAACUGCUGUUGCUGCUGCUCCUGCUGCGUGAUUUUGCAUGUGGUGUGCCAAUGUGUGGUUGGGAGGCAUUUACAAAGUGUUGCAAUGCACUUUUGCACAUGUGUAUAACGCUUGAAAUGAAAAACAGAAAACAAAAUAAAUAAAAAGAAAUACAACGGCAUUUGUAGGUUCAGGUUUUAACUGUCAUACACGUGUUAUAUUUACGAGGUGUGUUCAAAAAAUAACGGGAUUUUUUUUUUUGGAAAAAAUAUUUAUUCAUUCCUUCAGCUCCUCUUCCAAUCGUCGAAACACUUCUCCAACACGAUUUUUGAGAUAACCUCUCUUUCACCCAUUUCUCGUAUGCUUGUAAAAUGAGGCGGCCCUUUAAGGUUCUUUUCAUUUUUGAAAAGGAAAAAUAAAAAGUCACACAAACCCAUUCAUGUCUGGCGAAUAUGGAGAAUGAGGCAUUGUUACAGCAUUGUUUCUGGCCAAGAAUUUUCGAACGAAGUAUGCGUCGUUUAACAAACGAAAAUUGCCAAGCUCAAAAGACUACUUCUCACUUUAACGGCUGCUAUAGGCAAAGUAAGCAAUGAAGAAAACUGAAAAUUUGUCAUAAUUCAGGGAAAAGUAUAUCAACAUAAUAACAAUAAAAACAGGUUGAGAAUUGGACUUUUGAACAAUUGGAAAUUUACAAAUUCCCGUUAUUUUUUGAACAUAUCUCAUACGUAUGAGUAUAGGAAAAAGCUGUUGUCAGCAUUGGCCACCAUUUUAUGUAUGUUUGUUGUAUUUGUAUUUUGUACACUUGCUUCAAAUGUAUUAAGGCAAGAUUGUUCACUUUGAUGCUAUAUCACAAAAU